rnacentral:rRNA from 1 species
UCUACGGGUGGCAGCAGUGGGGGAUAUUGCACAAUGGGGGGAACCCUGAUGCAGCGACGCCGCGUGAGCGAUGGAGUACUUCGGUAUGUAAAGCUCUGUCAGCAGGGAAGAAAAUGACGGUACCUGACCAAGAAGCCCCGGCUACAUACGUGACAGCAGCCGCGGUAAUACGGGGGGGGCAAGCGUUAUCCGGAUUUACGGGGUGUAAACGGAGCGUAGGCGGCAGGGCAAGCCUGAUGUGAAAGCCCGGGGCUCAACCCCGGGAGUGCAUUGGGAACUGCCCUGAUGGAGUGCCGGAGGGGCAUGCGGAAUUCCUAGUGUAGCGGUGAAAUGCGUAGAUAUUAGGAGGAACACCAGUGGCGAAGGCAGCCUGCUGGACGGUGACUGACGCUGAGGCUCGAAAGCGUGGGGAGCGAACAGGAUUAGAUACCCUAGUAGUC